rnacentral:lncRNA from 1 species
AAAUGUUGGCACAUCAGUGUCUCUAAAAGGCAAGUUUACAAGUGUCAGGUUUUGCAUUAAGAGCAGUUUCAGAGAUUUGUAACUGUCAGGUUCAGGGCCUGUGAAGCCUUCUCACAUCUCAUGAUGACAGCCUCUCCCCUGACUACAGCAAUGGGUAGGAAGGAUCUUGCUGUUUAUUUGUUUUUUCUUUUUGAUUUUAAGAGGAAGUUCAUAACUACCUAGGAAAAUUAGUUAGAAAACUUGCUUGUUAAGAGAUUAGCUAAGUAGUAAGUGCAGUGCUUGUAAGGCCUGAAAAUGGACCAGUGGAUUAGAAUCUUCCCGGGGACAUAUGCUAAUGGACUACAGUGGUGUGCUUUUCUGUGACAGAAUUUACCAAGAAAUUGUUUUUUAAAAGAAAUUCUUUUUAAUUAGUUUAUUUGCCUCCCAUUAUUAUUUUGUUGCUCUGCUUCUAUUGUUUACCAGAGGUUUAAAAAAAAUCCUUCAAAAUUGAGCAAUCACAAUAAAAUUUAGUUAAUUGUUCUGUUUUGGACACAGGCUUUUUACCUAAAAUAUUUACUAGUCUUUUAUUCAGUCAUAACACAUGUAACCAGAUGGGUACAUCUGAGAAAUCACCUGUGUAAAUAAAUAUUUUAGUCUAAAUUUUACAAUGGUAAUUUUUCAGUGAAAACAAAUACAUUUAUAUUAGAGCUCGUUAUAAAUAAUAUCUUAGGUUAUAUUUUAGCAUAUUUAAGGCUUUUAAGGAUUAUUUUUUAACAUCUUCCUUCCUUCCUUCUCCCUUUUUUUCUUAUAUCCUGUGUGUAUGCAUGUAUGUGGAUGGCCUGGCAUAUGCCACAGAGCACCGGGGAUUGUUAGAGGGCAACUUGCAGGGUUCAUUCUUUUCUUUCCACUGUGUGGGACCAAAAGAUUGAACUUUGGUUGCCAGAUUGGGCAGCAAGUGCCUUUAUAGGCAGAGGCAUCUUGUGGGAUGUGAAGGACCAUUUGUAACACUGGGAGCUAAGAAGUCUGCAUCCUGGUUGUCAGCAAACAUCAUCCUGACUCUGUCGUUGCCUUAGACUAAGGAGUCCUUUUCUUUAAGCAGCUCAGUGUGUCAUGGUAGGAGGGGAGCAUCUUGUGAUCUGAUGGGCAAGUAGAAUAACACAUAGCGGCAUUUAGUAGACUCAAGUACUCCUAGGAUACCAUUUUUGUUGGUUAAUUAAAUGGUUUUCUCUUUCAUUUUAAUGUCUCUUGAUCCUCUGUGUGUAUGAAAGCUUUGCAUGGCUCAAGUCUUUAAUUUGUUAUUCCAGUUACUAUUGUUGUGUUAUUUAUUAAGAAUCUUUUUUCAUCAUAGUGUUUUAAACACGAAGUGUAAUCUAGCAUGGAAGCCUUACAUUAACUUUAAAAACCUCCUGCUUUAACUUACAAGAUAUUUCUAAUCUCAUUAUAGGGGAUUUAGUGCUAUGACUCUCAUUACACAAAAACAAGACUCCUCGCCUCUCUGUAUGGAGAAAUGUGCUCCUGCAUUUUAAAGACCACUAAGCCUCUUUAAUAUUCCCCUGAUAAAUCAACUUUGAGGAUUCCUCCAGCAGAUAGGUAUGGGGAGAAGCUGUAAACACUUAGCUCAGAGGUUACAGACACAUGAGCAAAUAAAAUGAGGUAAUUUUAUUUGUAAAGGAUUUAGGUUUAAUGUGAAUAAGACAUAUUUGAGCUCUGCUCAGGCUUCAAUACCACCAUGAUAAAGAUGAUCCAGUAGCCUCUGCAUGGAGGACUAGAAUAACAGCUGUUUUGUAUGUAGAGGUGCUUUUAUACACAAGGCUGGGACAAACAUGAAAGCCUAUGAAUCCAUUAGCAAGAGAACGUGCUUUCUUUCUCAUUUUGCUCUUACAUCUUCAGCUGUCUCUAUUGUCUCAGGUCAUCAUAAACCAAGGGAAAUGAUUUAUGAAGAUUAGAGAAUAUAUAAUAGAAUGGUUAUGAUAUACAAAUAAUAUAUUCUUACUAGUUUAUAUAUAUUUAUAUCGUUAUAGUAUCUUUGUUGUCUUCUAACAUUUGGGUAAAAUUUGAAAACCUACAUGUGGCUCAUACACCUUAAGUUAAUUACAAGUUUAAUGGGCUGAAGUUGUUUAGUUUUGAAAUGUAAGAACAUCCUUUCUUACAUAUCUUUUGAAACUAUUCUCACAAGCUGUGUGUCAUUGUUCUUAUCCAUGUCACAUUUUAACAUUACUCUAUCUACAUUUUGGCACUGUAUAAAAGAUAAUUGAGUUCUUUUGUAAUGAAAGCAUAGCCAACAUUCCUACAAAGUAAUUCAUUUAAUUAUAAAAAUGCAUAUUUAUAGGGUGCUUCAAAAUGGAUAAUGGUUAAUAACAAACUGUGUACUGAGGGAGUUUGCAGUUCCCCUUCCUUUUUCUUGCCUUAUUGCCAUGGAUGAAGUGCUUCAAAUAUU